UAGGGAAUCUUCCGCAAUGGACGCAAGUCUGACGGAGCAACGCCGCGUGAGUGAAGAAGGAUUUCGGUUCGUAAAACUCUGUUGUUAGAGAAGAACAGCGCAUAGAGUAACUGUUAUGCGUGUGACGGUAUCUAACCAGAAAGCCACGGCUAACUACGUGCCAGCAGCCGCGGUAAUACGUAGGUGGCAAGCGUUGUCCGGAUUUAUUGGGCGUAAAGCGAGCGCAGGCGGUCAAUUAAGUCUGAUGUGAAAGCCCCCGGCUCAACCGGGGAGGGUCAUUGGAAACUGGUUGACUUGAGUGCAGAAGAGGAGAGUGGAAUUCCAUGUGUAGCGGUGAAAUGCGUAGAUAUAUGGAGGAACACCAGUGACGAAGGCGACUCUCUGGUCUGUAACUGACGCUGAGGCUCGAAAGCGUGGGUAGCAAACAGG
rnacentral:rRNA from 1 species